rnacentral:rRNA from 1 species
AGCGCAGGCGGGAAGACAAGUUGGAAGUGAAAUCCAUGGGCUCAACCCAUGAACUGCUUUCAAAACUGUUUUUCUUGAGUAGUGCAGAGGUAGGCGGAAUUCCCGGUGUAACGGUGGAAUGCGUAGAUAUCGGGAGGAACACCAGUGGCGAAGGCGGCCUACUGGGCACCAACUGACGCUGAGGCUCGAAGGUGUGGGUAAGCAAACAG